rnacentral:rRNA from 1 species
CGUUGCUCGGAAUUAUUGGGCGUAAAGUCGCGUGUAGGCGGUUUCUUAAGUCCUGAUGUGAAAGCCCCCGGGCUCAACCUGGGAAGUGCAUUGGAAACUGGGAGACUUGAGUACGGGAGAGGGUAGUGGAAUUCCUAGUGUAGGAGUGAAAUCCGUAGAUAUUAGGAGGAACACCGGUGGCGAAGGCGGCUACCUGGACCGAUACUGACGCUGAGACGCGAAAGCGUGGGGAGC